UUGCAGGUCAAAGUAAACUGCCUGACUUCAAGAACAAAGCUCAGGGACGAUGGAUCUAAAGAGACAAAUUCUCAAGUCAAUGAACUGAACUCAAACAGCCUUGAUGGGGACUUCAAGUCAGAUAGGUCUGGAAGCACAUUCACAGAGAACGCUGCCCCUUCCUCUAACAAAGAACUCAGGUCAACCUUGUGCUCCGAUCAUCUUGCAAGUAGGGAAACAAGUCUUUCGUCCUUUGCUUCUACUCAGAGCUUCGGCUCUGCGGAAAAUUCCUCGCACAGAGAAGACCGUUCACCUGAAAAUCAAUUGAGAGUUGACAGGCAUGACCAGAGAAUUGGAGAGACUUCAGUCAGGUCCCCAGAGUAGACGGUGGCAAUCUGAUCAAUAGCUCUUCUCACUUGAAACCUCCGUUCUCUAAUUCACAGAUUAUGGGUUCGGGUGAUCCGUCACAGAGUAAUAAGGAAAUGUUAUCUGUGAAGAUUUCUGACUCCUCUAAAGAUUUCAUUGAAGCUGCAGAAGACACAAUAGAAGAGCUUCAUGCGGAGGCUAAAAUGUGGGAGCGAAAUGCGCAAAAGCUAAUGCUCGAUCUGGAUAUGGUGAGAAAGGAGUUCUUUAAUCUGUCCAAGAAUCACAAGGAUCUGGAUAUGGAGUUCUUGGCGGCUAAGACGGAACGGGAGAGCUUAAGAAAAGAAGUCGAACAACUAAAGCUGCUGCUCAAGAACUCACAAGUGGACCAAAAGACCGUGGAUGAUUCAAAUUCCCAA